rnacentral:rRNA from 1 species
CAGUCGCCCGGGAAUACGUAGGUGGCAAGCGUUGUCCGGAAUUAUUGGGCGUAAAGGGCUCGCAGGCGGUUUCUUAAGUCUGAUGUGAAAGCCCCCGGCUCAACCGGGGAGGGUCAUUGGAAACUGGGAAACUUGAGUGCAGAAGAGGAGAGUGGAAUUCCACGUGUAGCCGUGAAAUGCGUAGAGAUGUGGAGGAACACCAGUGGCGAAGGCGACUCUCUGGUCUGUAACUGACGCUGAGGAGCGAAAGCGUGGGGAGCGAACAGGAUUAGAUACCCCUGUAGUCCCUGUCUCUUAUACA